rnacentral:rRNA from 1 species
UACGUAGGGUGCGAGCGUUGUCCGGAAUUAUUGGGCGUAAAGAGCUCGUAGGCGGUGUGUCACGUCGGCCGUGAAAACCUGCAGCUUAACUGUGGGCGUGCGGUCGAUACGGGCAUCACUGGAGUUCGGCAGGGGAGACUGGAAUUCCUGGUGUAGCGGUGAAAUGCGUAGAGAUCGGGAGGAACACCUGUGGCGAAGGCGGCCACCUGGGCCGACCCUGACGCUGAGGCGCGAAGGCGUGGGGAGCGAACGGG